GGAGUUAGCCGGUGCUUCUUCUGUGAGUGAUGUCCUUCCUGCCGGUUAUUGACCCGCAGGCCUUCUUCCUCACUGAAAGUGCUUUACAACCCGAAGGCCUUCUUCACACACGCGGCAUGGCUGGAUCAGGGUUGCCCCCAUUGUCCAAUAUUCCCCACUGCUGCCUCCCGUAGGAGUCUGGGCCGUGUCUCAGUCCCAGUGUGGCUGAUCAUCCUCUCAGACCAGCUACGGAUCGUCGCCUUGGUGAGCCGUUACCUCACCAACCAGCUAAUCCGACAUAGGCUCAUCCGAUAGCGCGAGUCCCGAAGGUCCCCCGCUUUCCCCCGUAGGGCGUAUGCGGUAUUAGCCUGGGUUUCCCCAGGUUAUCCCCCACUACCGGGCAGAUUCCUAUGCAUUACUCACCCGUCCGCCGCUCGCCACCAGGGAGCAAGCUCCCCGUGCUGCCGCUCGACUUGCAUGUGUUAGGCCUGCCGCCAGCGUUCAAUCUGAGCCAUGAUCAAACUCUGA
rnacentral:rRNA from 1 species